rnacentral:rRNA from 1 species
UUUCCGCUAACCGGUGAGAAUGCCCUUAAAAACUAUAUAAAGUUAAAAGGAGCUGGUAUCAGGCACACCCCCUGGGUAGCCCAUUACACCUUGCUUAACCACACCCCCACGGGAUACAGCAGUGACUAACAUUAAGCCAUAAACGAAAGUUUGACUGAGUCAUAAUUUAAUAGGGUUGGUAAAUUUCGUGCCAGCCACCGCGGUCAUACGAUUAACCCAAAUUAACAGACCACCGGCGUAAAGCGUGUUUAAGUAUAAUACUCUAAUAAAGUUAAAACCUAACUAAACUGUAAAACGUUAUAGUUAAUACCAAAAUAUGCAACUAAAGUGACUUUAAUCUACACUGAACACACGAUAGCUAAGACACAAACUGGGAUUAGAUACCCCACUAUGCUUAGCCCUAAACCCAAAUAGUUAAAAAACAAAACUAUUCGCCAGGGAACUACUAGCUAAUGCUUAAAACUCAAAGGACUUGGCGGUGCCCUAAACCCACCUAGAGGAGCCUGUUCUAUAAUCGAUAAACCCCGAUAAACCCCACCUCUUCUUGCCAAUACAGCCUAUAUACCGCCAUCGUCAGCUCACCCCAAUAGGGACCCAAAGUAGGCAAAACUAUAUAAUCAUAAAAACGUUAGGUCAAGGUGUAGCAUAUGAAGAGGGAAGCAAUGGGCUACAUUUUCUAAACUAGAACAUAACGAAUGGCCUUAUGAAAUCUAAGACCUGAAGGAGGAUUUAGUAGUAAAUUAGGAG